rnacentral:lncRNA from 1 species
GUCACGACCCGAAUCCCGGGUCCAUGACCGGCAACGCAGGAGCGGUGGCGGAAGGACACCCCUCCCGCGCUAAGCCUCAUAACGGACAUAUCAAAAGAAUAAUUUAUUCAAAAAUACGCAGCAUUUCAUAAUCUUCAGAAAUAUUAUAUCCUUCAAAACUGAUGAAACCAGAAGAUAGUUUAAAACUCCUCAUCAGUAAUUAAAACAAAAACAAUAAUCCAUAAUACUCAUUACAUUGUCAAAAAUCCAAACUUAAUCAAAACAAAGUAAUAGUGGAGCGCCUAAGACAUCGAAUCAAACAGCCUUGAAAGAUAAGCAAGGCAUACCGACUCAAAACUGAAGAAGCAGGAACACUCAACAAGGUUCACCUGCUAUCAGAAACUAAGAACCUGAAAUAAUAUUAAGAAUGAGGGGUGAGUUCAACCAACUCAGUGAGGGAAUAAUAAUUAAUAUACAUUUUAGAUAUUCUUGAUAUUUAUAGUUCGCAAGAUCAUUUAUCUUGAUAUACAUAUACAUAUACAUACUAAACUUAUCAUAUACAUAUCAUAUACAUACUAAACGUAUCAUCAUAACGUAGUGGACUAUAUGUCAGAGAUCAGAUGACACCCGAAGGUGACCAGACCAGAUGACACCCGAAGGUGACCACUGUGGGAUGAUCAGUCGCCACAGGCUGAUGCCUCUCUCACCAGCUAGGUAUACAUACAGAAUACUAUGUGCACAUAGGCUAACUACUCUCCGUUAGCAUGGAGUUACUGACAAGUCCCAUAUCAAGGCAUAAUAGAUAUUCACAUAAUCAUCAAAGAAACGUAUAUCAUAUCAAAUAGAAUUUACUUUGACAGAUUGCGAGUGCAAAUUCAAGAAUAAAUGAGUACUCGGAAAAUAAGCAACAUAUAUAAUUAUUCAAGAAAUUAACGAGUUGUACUCAUUGUAUAAUCAACAUACAUAUUUACUUAUCAUAUAUGCAUAUUAAAGAUUAUUCCACUCACCCGGAAAAUAUAGAACUAAAGGAAUGUCAGACGAAAGACCCGAAAAUCCUAUUGAGGAUUGUUAGGAGAACCUACAACAAUAUGAAAAUAUACUCAAAAGCAACUCAACAAGAGAUCCCAAUGCAUAAAAUAAAACCAGGUUUAUUCUCCUAAGUUUAUGGACUAAAACGACAAUUUUCCAAAACAGGGACCAAAACGUAAUUUUACCAAAAUUGGACCAAUCUGGAAAAUACAUAACCAUACUGAAUUUUCACCCAUAAACCAUCCUUAAUUCUGUCUAGAACGAACCAGGGACCGAUCUGAAAUUUUCAUAAAAUUCAGGGACUAAAAUGUAAAUUCCCGAAAUUGAGGGACCAAACUGAAAAUAUUCAAAAUCAAUUAUCAAACUGCGAUUCAUCAUCCUUAACCUCAUAAUAACACUGUCCAGAAUCUCAAAUACAAUUAGGGGUCAAAUUAUAAUUUUCCCAAAGUUUAGGGACUAAACUGAAAUUUCACAAAUUGAGGGACCAAAUUGAAUUUUCGUUAUCUUCAACCUCAAACCCAGAAUUUUACAGAUUACCUACUGUCAUCUCCUGAUUUCUAACACAAUUUCAAAAAUCAUAACUCAAAAUCAUCAUCUUUACCCUCAAUCUCUCACAAUCAACUAAUUAACCAAUUACCCACAACAAUCAACCCAUAACCUUCCAAUUAAUUCAUCAAUCAAACUCAAAACACAAUAUUCAAAACCCUAACAUUUAUCAAAACAGAAAUUAAGGCUUAAAGAACACACAUUUAUACAUAAUCUUACCUUUAAACUUAUUUCCUCCAACUCCUUUCCUUUUUCCCUUAUUUUCCCCUCUUUUCUCUUCUUCUUCUUUCUCCCUUCUCUCUCACGGUUUGCUCUCUCAAAUAUUCAGAUAUCUUUUUUUUUUUUUUCUCUUUAUACUUAUCAUCUCUUUAUACAAUUACUCCAAUACCCUUCAUUUAAUUAUACCAAUUUUUAGCCUUCAAGGGCUUUAUUGCCUUUUACCUACUCAUUAAAUUUCAAAACAUCACAAUCUCCCCACCUUAUAAAAGUUUCGUCCUCGAAACUUAAACUUUAAGAAAAAGUCUUACCAUCAAGUUCAAACAAGAAUGGAUACUUGUUGAGCAUUUCCUCCUCAAGCUCCCAGGUCGCUUCUUCACGUGGGUGUCCGCUCCACACAACCUUAACUGAUGUGAUAUCUUUCGACCGAAGUUUUCUAACUUGUCGAUCCACUAUUUUUAUUGGUUGAACUUCAUAUGUCAUAUCUUUCCUCAGCUCAAUCGGUUGAACUUCUAGCACAUGAGAUGGAUCAGACAAAUACUUCCUCAACAUCGAAACAUGGAACACCGGAUGUAUAGAGGAGAGAUUAGGUGGCAAGGCAAGCCGAUAUGCCACUACCCCUACUCUUUCCAAGAUCUCAAAGGGCCCUAUAAACUUAGGACUCAACUUUCCUUUCUUCCCAAACCUGAAUAUCCCUUUAGUCGGGGAGACUUUUAGGAACACGUUGUCACCCACUGAAAAUUCUAGAUUACGCCUUCUCUUAUCUGCAUAAUUCUUUUGCCUACUCUGAGCUGUUAGAAGCUUAUCUCGGAUCACCUUAAUCUUAUCCGAAGUAAUCUGUAUUAACUCGGGACCCAUUAAUCUCCUCUCACCAACCUCAUACCAACAUACAGGUGAUCUACACUUCCGGCCAUACAAGGCCUCAUAUGGGGCCAUAUCAAUGCUCGCUUGAUAACUAUUAUUAUAUGCAAACUCCACCAAAGAUAAGUACUUGCUCCAUCCGACACCAAAGUCAAUCACACAAGCUCUUAACAUAUCCUCCAAAAUUUGUAUAGUCCUCUCAGAUUGUCCAUCUGUCUGAGGAUGAAAGGCAAUACUUAACUGAAUGUUAGUCCCCAAAGCUUCCUGAAACUUCACCCAAAACCGAGAAGUGAAUUGUGGACCUCUGUCGGACACAAUUGAGAUCGGUACACCAUGCAACCUUACGAUCUCGUUAACAUAGAUUUCUGCCAGUUUUGCAAACCCAUAUGUCACCUUUACUGGCAAGAAAUGAGCUGACUUGGUUAAACGAUCAACUAUUACCCAAACCAAAUCAUAACCCUCUUGACUCCGAGGCAAACCUGACACAAAAUCCAUAGUGAUCCUCUCCCAUUUCCAUUCAGGAAUUAACAAUGGCUGCAAAAGCCCUGGUGGUUUCUGAUGCUCACCUUUAACCUUCUGACAGGUCAAGCAUCGAGAUACAAAUUCAGCAAUGUCCCUCUUCAUACCAUUCCACCAAUAACACUCUUUCAAGUCUCUAUACAUCUUGUUAGAACCAGGAUGUAUAGUAUAGGCAGUUUGAUGUGCUUCCGUCAUCACAUCUCUUUUCAAAUCAUCCACCUCAGACACACAUAACCUGGAACCAAAUCUCAACACACCAUCUUCAUGGAUAACAAAACCCGGAGCUCUCCCUAACUCCAACUCAUCUCGAAUCUUGCAAAGUCGCUCAUCCUUCAUUUGAGCUCCUUUAAUCCGGUCUACCAAGUCUGACUUAGCCUGGAAGUGAGCCAACAAUGCUCCCGAUUCACAAAUCUCAAAACUGACCCUCUCAUCCAACAAUCCGUGUAACUCUUUAAUCAAGGGUCUCCUCACCUCCUGAAUAUGAGCCAAACUACCCAUAGAUUUUCUGCUUAAGGCAUCGGCAACAACAUUUGCCUUGCCCGGGUGAUACUGAAUCGUGCAAUCAUAAUCACUUAAUAGUUCCAUCCACAUUCUUUGUCUCAAAUUCAGAUCCUUCUGCUGGAAGAUAUAUUGAAGACUCUUAUGAUCUGAAAAUAUCUCACAUGUCUCCCCAUACAAGUAGUGUCUCCAAAUCUUAAGGGCAAACACUACCGCAGCCAUCUCCAAAUCAUGUGUGGGGUAAUUUUGCUCGUGCUUCUUCAACUUUCUCGAGGCAUAAGCAAUCACAUUACCAUUCUGCAUCAAAACACAACCCAAACCAAUCCUGGAUGCAUCACAGUACACGGUAAAACCACCAGACCCUGAAGGUACUGUCAAAAUUGGAGCCGUAAUUAACCUUUCCUUCAACUCCAGGAAACUCUUCUCACAUUCUUCUGACCAUUGAAACUUGACACUUUUCUGUGUCAACUUCGUCAAUGGAGCAGCGAUUCGGGAAAAAUUCUCCAUGAAUCUCCUGUAGUAUCUUGCUAAACCCAGGAAACUCCUAAUCUCAGAUACUGUAACUGGUCUAGGCCACUGCUUAACUGCCUCCACUUUCUGUGGAUCAACCUCUAUCCCAUUUUUGGACACCACAUGUCCCAAAAACCCAACACUCUCUAACCAAAACUCACUCUUCGAGAACUUUCCAUACAACUGAUGAUCUCUUAGAGUUUGAAGCACCAAUCUCAAAUGCUCUUCAUGUUCCUCUUUACUUCUCGAAUACACCAAGAUGUCAUCAAUGAACACAAUAACAAACUUAUCAAUAAACGGCCUAAAAACCAUGUUCAUCAUGUCCAUAAAAGCUGCAGGUGCAUUCGUUAACCCAAAAGACAACACUAGGAACUUGUAAUGCCCAUAACGAGUCCUAAAGGCAGUUUUAGGAAUAUCCUCAUUUCUAAUCCUCAACUGGUGAUACCCCGAUCGCAAAUCAAUCUUUGAGAAACAUUGAGCUCCUUGUAAUUGAUCAAAAAGAUCAUCAAUGCGAGGAAGUGGGUAUCUAUUCUUAACAGUGACCUUGUUCAACUGUCUAUAGUCUAUACACAUCCUCAUUGAUCCAUCCUUCUUCUUUACAAAUAAAACAGGUGCUCCCCACGGAGACACACUUGGACGAAUAAACCCCUUAUCUAACAAAUCUUGAAUCUGCUCCUUCAACUCUUUUAAUUCUGCUGGCGCCAUCCUGUACGGUGCCAUAGAGAUUGGUUUUGUUCCUGAAACUAGAUCAAUACAGAAUUCGAUUUCCCUAUUGGGAGGUAGUCCAGGUAAGUCAUCGGGAAAAACAUCGAUGAAUUCCUUAACUAUCGAAACUUGUUCCAUCCUCGGGACCUCCAUGUUCAUAUCAUGCACAUAAGCCAAAAACCCUUGCAUACCUUUUCGUACCAUCCUUCUCGUGAUGGCCGAGAGAAUACUAGAUGGAGAUGAUAACCCAUCUCCAUGAAAAGCAAACUCCGUCUUCUCAUCAGGCUUGAAAAUCACUGUCUUAUUCCAACAAUCAACUGAGGCAUGGUGCCUUGAUAACCAAUCCAUACCUAGUAUCACAUCAAAACCUACUAUGUCUAAAAUUACCAAAUCGCCUAAUAGGUUUCUACCUUGCACUUGAAUCUCACAAUCAACAUAAACAUAUUCCCCAAACAUAACCUCAUCCGAAGGGAUAGCUACACACAAAGGACUCUCUAACAAAAUGGAUUGUUUAGUAAACCUUAAAGCAAAAUAUGACGACACGAAAGAAUGAGUUGCCCCCGUGUCAAAUAACACUCUAGCCUCGAAGGAACAUAACAUAACUAUAAAGGAGUUUUAAGGAGGACACACCAAACCCUAGAUUGGAGAAUUGUAAGAGGAACGACAUCAAGACAAGAUAGAUCCUAAGCUCCACAUAUUACGAGGGUUUUGAAAAAUAAAAAAAAUGACUAAAAUAGAUUACGAGGUUUUAAUAAAAACCGGGCUCUGAUACCACCUUUGUCACGACCCGAAUCCCGGGUCCAUGACCGGCAACGCAGGAGCGGUGGCGGAAGGACACCCCUCCCGCGCUAAGCCUCAUAACGGACAUAUCAAAAGAAUAAUUUAUUCAAAAAUACGCAGCAUUUCAUAAUCUUCAGAAAUAUUAUAUCCUUCAAAACUGAUGAAACCAGAAGAUAGUUUAAAACUCCUCAUCAGUAAUUAAAACAAAAACAAUAAUCCAUAAUACUCAUUACAUUGUCAAAAAUCCAAACUUAAUCAAAACAAAGUAAUAGUGGAGCGCCUAAGACAUCGAAUCAAACAGCCUUGAAAGAUAAGCAAGGCAUACCGACUCAAAACUGAAGAAGCAGGAACACUCAACAAGGUUCACCUGCUAUCAGAAACUAAGAACCUGAAAUAAUAUUAAGAAUGAGGGGUGAGUUCAACCAACUCAGUGAGGGAAUAAUAAUUAAUAUACAUUUUAGAUAUUCUUGAUAUUUAUAGUUCGCAAGAUCAUUUAUCUUGAUAUACAUAUACAUAUACAUACUAAACUUAUCAUAUACAUAUCAUAUACAUACUAAACGUAUCAUCAUAACGUAGUGGACUAUAUGUCAGAGAUCAGAUGACACCCGAAGGUGACCAGACCAGAUGACACCCGAAGGUGACCACUGUGGGAUGAUCAGUCGCCACAGGCUGAUGCCUCUCUCACCAGCUAGGUAUACAUACAGAAUACUAUGUGCACAUAGGCUAACUACUCUCCGUUAGCAUGGAGUUACUGACAAGUCCCAUAUCAAGGCAUAAUAGAUAUUCACAUAAUCAUCAAAGAAACGUAUAUCAUAUCAAAUAGAAUUUACUUUGACAGAUUGCGAGUGCAAAUUCAAGAAUAAAUGAGUACUCGGAAAAUAAGCAACAUAUAUAAUUAUUCAAGAAAUUAACGAGUUGUACUCAUUGUAUAAUCAACAUACAUAUUUACUUAUCAUAUAUGCAUAUUAAAGAUUAUUCCACUCACCCGGAAAAUAUAGAACUAAAGGAAUGUCAGACGAAAGACCCGAAAAUCCUAUUGAGGAUUGUUAGGAGAACCUACAACAAUAUGAAAAUAUACUCAAAAGCAACUCAACAAGAGAUCCCAAUGCAUAAAAUAAAACCAGGUUUAUUCUCCUAAGUUUAUGGACUAAAACGACAAUUUUCCAAAACAGGGACCAAAACGUAAUUUUACCAAAAUUGGACCAAUCUGGAAAAUACAUAACCAUACUGAAUUUUCACCCAUAAACCAUCCUUAAUUCUGUCUAGAACGAACCAGGGACCGAUCUGAAAUUUUCAUAAAAUUCAGGGACUAAAAUGUAAAUUCCCGAAAUUGAGGGACCAAACUGAAAAUAUUCAAAAUCAAUUAUCAAACUGCGAUUCAUCAUCCUUAACCUCAUAAUAACACUGUCCAGAAUCUCAAAUACAAUUAGGGGUCAAAUUAUAAUUUUCCCAAAGUUUAGGGACUAAACUGAAAUUUCACAAAUUGAGGGACCAAAUUGAAUUUUCGUUAUCUUCAACCUCAAACCCAGAAUUUUACAGAUUACCUACUGUCAUCUCCUGAUUUCUAACACAAUUUCAAAAAUCAUAACUCAAAAUCAUCAUCUUUACCCUCAAUCUCUCACAAUCAACUAAUUAACCAAUUACCCACAACAAUCAACCCAUAACCUUCCAAUUAAUUCAUCAAUCAAACUCAAAACACAAUAUUCAAAACCCUAACAUUUAUCAAAACAGAAAUUAAGGCUUAAAGAACACACAUUUAUACAUAAUCUUACCUUUAAACUUAUUUCCUCCAACUCCUUUCCUUUUUCCCUUAUUUUCCCCUCUUUUCUCUUCUUCUUCUUUCUCCCUUCUCUCUCACGGUUUGCUCUCUCAAAUAUUCAGAUAUCUUUUUUUUUUUUUUUCUCUUUAUACUUAUCAUCUCUUUAUACAAUUACUCCAAUACCCUUCAUUUAAUUAUACCAAUUUUUAGCCUUCAAGGGCUUUAUUGCCUUUUACCUACUCAUUAAAUUUCAAAACAUCACAACUUCAUUGACGA